rnacentral:rRNA from 10 species
GUCUACUACCAUACCACUCUGAACACACCCAAUCUCAUCUGAUCUCAGAAGCUAAAUAGGGUCGGGCCUGGUUUGUAUAAUAAUUGGAUAGGAGAAA